rnacentral:rRNA from 1 species
UACGUAGGGGGCAAGCGUUGUCCGGAAUCAUUGGGCGUAAAGAGCGUGUAGGCGGUUCAGUAAGUCUGCUGUGAAAGUCCAGGGCUCAACCCUGGGAUGCCGGUGGAUACUGCUGGGCUAGAGUACGGAAGAGGCGAGUGGAAUUCCCGGUGUAGCGGUGAAAUGCGCAGAUAUCGGGAGGAACACCUAUUGCGAAGGCAGCUCGCUGGGGUAUUUCUGACGCUGAGGCACGAAAGCCAGGGGAGCGAACGGG